UGAUUGUAGAGAAAGCGACGCAGAGUCCAGGCCACCACUUGAGCACACGGAAUGCUAAUGUUUAAGCGUGUAACAAGGUCAGUCUCAAUAGAGAUUUUAUGGCCUAGUUUUUAGAACACUAAUAUUUUAGAAACAGUAAAAAAAAAUUUAUUCCCAUAAAACUAUAUCUACUCUCAUGAAACUCUCAUCAUCUCUCUCUUCAUCAAUAUAGUAUCACGUCAGUAUAUUUAAUAUGCAUGAAACUUUCAUAAAACCUCCAUUGAGACUAGCUUAAGAUUGUCUCCAACAACCGUGACUUAAAAUAUAAGACCUAUUUGUCCUUUGGAUAGUGUUACAAGCAAAUAGUUUAGUACUUUUUUUUGUCUUCUCCAACAAUAAAACCCAAAAGACAACUCUUUUUGCAAAUGAAUAUGCCUCUCAUGACACCCAAAAUAAGUCUUUUAUAUAGUCACUCUGUUAGAUUCUAUAGAUAUUGCGUUAGAAACCCAUUUUAAAUUUGGAUUUCGUAAUAUGUCUCUGGUUGGAGACAGUCUAACCUGAGCUUGACAAACCAUGUGUGUGUUUGGCACAUCGAGGCACACAUAGGCCUUGUUUAGUUAACCCCGAAAUUCAAAAAGUUUUCAAGAUUUCCUGCCACAUCGAAUCUUGCGGCACAUGCAUGAAGCAUCAAAUAUAGACGAAAACAGGACAAUAUUUACCACAAACAAACGAAAAUGCUACAGUAGCAAAAUCCAAAAAUUUUCACAUGCCAUCGUUAAUUUGAGUAAAACUAGAGGUUCCCUCAUAUAUAAAAAACAUAAUUUGUUUCGUUAUUCAGAAUAUCACUUUUUUUUUCUUUUUUUUCUUGUUUAGUUGCACGCAAAAAUCAAAAGUUUUUUAAGAUUUUCUGUCGCAUCGAAUCCUACAGUACAUGGAUGAAACAUUCAAUAUAGAUAAAAAAUAACUAACUAUACAAUUUACCUGUAAUUUACGAGAUAAAUCUUUUGAGUCUAGUUAGUUCAUAAUUGAAUAAUAAUUAACAAAUACAAAUCAUCUAAACCAGGCCUGCGUAUGUGUGUUUACAAAACUUUCGUUUUUGCGAGAUAAUAGGGUCUGCUUAUGUGUGUGUACAAAAACUUUUUAGAUUUGGACGCUCUAGUAGUUUCGUUUGUAUUUUGUAAUUAUUAUUUAAUUAUAAACUAACUAGGUUUAAAAAAUUAAUCAUAUAAUUACAUGUAAACUAUGUAAUUAGUUAUUUUUAAUGUACAUUUAAUACUUCAUGUAUAUGCCGCAAGAUCCGAUGUGAUAGAAAUUUUGAAUAAAAAUUAUAACUUUUUUUUAGAACUAAAGGCCUAAACAAGGCCGUCUGUCACAGUCAAUAGUCAUGGGCAAAGGUUUGCUUCUCUCGCACCCACGAAAAAUGUCCUGUUUUUUUUUUUGGUAACGUGGAAGCCCCUCUCGUCUUCUUCUUGUCUUUCUCGAUCUCGAGGUUGGUUUUUGAUGACUACAGCAACAAAGGUAUUAGAUUUAGGCCCUGUUUAGUUACUCACCUAAAAUUUUUUCAUCCAUCCCGUCGAAUCUUUAGACACGUACAUAAAACACUAAAUGUAGAUAAAAAAAUAAACUAAUAACACAGUUUGGUUGAAAAUCGCGAGACCAAUUUUUUAAGCCUAGUUACUCCAUGAUUAGCCUUAAGUGCUACAGUAACCCACAUGUGCUAAUGAUAGAUUAAUUAUACUUAAUAGAUUUGUCUUGCAGUUUUCUGACGAGCUAUGUAAUUUGUUUUUUUAUUAGUUUCUAAAAACCCUUUCCGACAUCCUUUUCGACGUAUCCGAUGUGACACCCAAAAAAUUUUCAUCCUCAAUCUAAACAGAGCCUUAGGAGUCAAGAUGGCAACGGGUACCCGAAACCCGAGUACCCGACGGGUUUUACCCGAUAAAGAGACGGGUAUGGAAUGAAUUUUCUACCCGUGGAUAUGUUAUUGGGCAAAAUCCU
rnacentral:lncRNA from 1 species